rnacentral:rRNA from 1 species
AAAUGCUAGGAUGUGAUGGGGAAGCCCUUCGGGGCGAAGUAGCUGAUUUCACACUGUCAAGAAAAGCUUCUAUCGAGUUUAAAGGCGCCCGUACCGUAAACCGACACAGGUGGGUGAGGAGAGUAUCCAAGGCCAGCGAGAAAACUAUUGUUAAGGAACUCGGCAAAAUGACCCCGUAACUUAGGGAGAAGGGGUGCCUGUCUAUGACAGGCCGCAGAGAAUAGGCCCAAGCGACUGUUUACCAAAAACACAGGUUUCUGCUAAGUCGCAAGACGAUGUAUAGGAGCUGACGCCUGCCCGGUGCUGGAAGGUUAAGGGGAUCUGUUAGAGCAAUCGAAGCAGUGAACUUAAGCCCCAGUAAACGGCGGCCGUAACAAUAACGGUCCUAAGGUAGCGAAAUUCCUUGUCGGGUAAGUUCCGACCCGCACGAAAGGCGUAACGAUUUGGGCACUGUCUCAACAAUAGACUCGGUGAAAUUGUAAUCCCGGUGAAGAUGCCGGGUACCUGCGACAGGACGGAAAGACCCCAUGGAGCUUUACUGUAGCUUGACGUUGGGUCUUGGUACUACAUGUACAGGAUAGGUGGGAGACUAUGAAGCAUGGACGCCAGUCUGUGUGGAGUCAUCCUUGGGAUACCACCCUUGUAGUACUGGGAUCCUAACCAUAGGCCUUGAAUCAGGUCUUGGAACACCGUCAGGUGGGCAGUUUGACUGGGGCGGUCGCCUCCUAAAAAGUAACGGAGGCGCUCAAAGGUUUCCUCAGCACGGUCGGAAAUCGUGCGAAGAGUGUAAAGGCAAAAGGAAGCUUGAUUGCAAGACAUACAGGUCGAGCAAGGACGAAAGUCGGACUUAGUGAUCCGGUGGUACCGCAUGGAAGGGCCAUCGCUCAACGGAUAAAAGCUACCCUGGGGAUAACAGGCUUAUCUCCCCCAAGAGUCCACAUCGACGGGGAGGUUUGGCACCUCGAUGUCGGCUCAUCACAUCCUGGGGCUGUAGUAGGUCCCAAGGGUUGGGCUGUUCGCCCAUUAAAGUGGUACGCGAGCUGGGUUCAGAACGUCGUGAGACAGUUCGGUCCCUAUCCGUCGCAGGCGUAGGAAAUUUGAGAAGACCUGUCCUUAGUACGAGAGGACCGGGAUGGACGUACCUCUGGCGUACCAGUUGUUCUGCCAAGGGCAUGGCUGGGUAGCUAUGUACGGAAUGGAUAAGCGCUGAAAGCAUCUAAGCGCGAAGCCAACUUCAAGAUAAGAUUUCCCACCGCAAGGGUAAGACCCCAGGAAGACUACCUGGUUGAUAGGUCGAAGGUGUAAGUGCAGUAAUGUAUUUAGCUUAUCGAUACUAAUAGGUCGAGGACUUGACC